rnacentral:rRNA from 1 species
UACGUAGGUGGCAAGCGUUAUCCGGAUUUACUGGGUGUAAAGGGCGUGUAGGCGGGAAAGCAAGUCAGAUGUGAAAACCAUGGGCUCAACCUGUGGCCUGCAUUUGAAACUGUUUUUCUUGAGUACUGGAGAGGCAGACGGAAUUCCUAGUGUAGCGGUGAAAUGCGUAGAUAUUAGGAGGAACACCAGUGGCGAAGGCGGUCUGCUGGACAGCAACUGACGCUGAGGCGCGAAAGCGUG